UACGGGGGGAGCAAGCGUUGUUCGGAUUUACUGGGCGUAAAGGGCGCGUAGGCGGCCAGCACAAGUCAGUUGUGAAAUCUCCGAGCUUAACUCGGAAAGGUCAACUGAUACUGUGCGGCUAGAGUGCGGAAGGGGCAACUGGAAUUCUUGGUGUAGCGGUGAAAUGCGCAGAUAUCAGGAGGAACACCAGUGGCGAAGGCGGUGCUCUGGGCCGGAACUGACGCUGAGGAGCGAAAGCGUGGGGAGCAAACAGG
rnacentral:rRNA from 1 species